rnacentral:rRNA from 1 species
GACGAACGCUGGCGGCGUGCUUAACACAUGCAAGUCGAACGAAGUGGCGAACGGGUGAGUAAUACGUGGGUAACCUGCCCUCCUUUUUGGGAUAAGCCUUGGAAACGGGGUCUAAUACCGAAUAAAGGGGGAUGGGCUCGCGGCCUAUCAGCUUGUUGGUGGGGUGAUGGCCUACCAAGGCGGUGACGGGUAGCCGGCCUGAGAGGGUGACCGGCCACAUUGGUACUGAGAUACGGCCCAGACUCCUACGGGAGGCAGCAGUGGGGGAUAUUGCACAAUGGGCGAAAGCCUGAUGCAGCCAAGUAGCGUGCAGGAUGACGGCCUAUGGGUUGUAAACUGCUUUUGAUGGGGAUAAGGUACCAUACGAAUAAGGACCGGCUAAUUCCGUGCCAGCAGCCGCGGUAAUUC